AAAAAUAAACUAAAAACAGCAGCAAUUUUGUUUGUUAAAGGGAGGGAGGGUGGGUUGUGCAAUCUUGAAAAAUACUCGUGGAAUGAAAAUUUAGCGGGAGCACGUGCUUAUAUAUGACCAAAGUCCACGAGGCGCUUCAAAGCAUAUUCUUUCGUAUGUUUAAAUAUAUGGUUGUAAUUAUUUAAUGGCAAAACGUAAAUAAUGGACUGACGUACAUUUGAAACACAAUAAACAACUAAAUGUAUUUUAAUGCAAUAAAUCAAUUUAAUUAUUAGAUCAUUAAAUUUUAUUAUUGCAUAUUCAAUGUGCGCAAUGAAUAUACAACUACAGAUGUGUUAUGUUCCAUUCUUUCGCAAGAAAAAUAUAAACAACAAACAAACAAACAAUUGAAAUUUGAAAUUUGGCUGAUUAUUUGUCAUGGCAUUUAUUCAACAAUAUUCAACAAUAUAAACCAACAAACAACCAACAUCAACAAACUGGCCAACAAGUUAAAACUUGAUGACAAUUGGUCACUGAAGGAAAACCAACAGUAAAUGCAUAACAAUUUCUAGCUGCUGGGCAUAUCCAUAACAGCUUAAUGAACGAUAUUUGAAUAAAUCACUGCCAAAAUUGGCAUUUUAGUGAACUCUCAAUCAAAUGCUAAUCCGCCAUGACAAUUAAAGCAGCAUAAAUUAAAAGAAAAUAUAAUCAACUAGUUGUUAUUCUUUUCAACAUACAACAAAUAAACAAACAACAUCAUUCAUGCAUCGGAUAAACAGAAUUAUUUGGUAUAUAAUAAAAUUGUUCUAAAGCAGUUUGAAAUGAAUUCAAAAAUAUAUCAUUGCCAAUAAACGACAAAUGGAGCGCCAUCAUGACUAAAUAAAGAUUGAUGUUUGUCUUCAAAAUCAGAAUGAGUUAUAGUGUAACCCUAGUUUUAUUUAAAUGUGAUUUACUCCCCUAUGUAUGCGUUUUCCUGGUUGCAUCCAUUGCUUUGAAAUCAUUUGAAUAUCUCCAUUUCAACCUUGGUAAAAUGCUUGAAAAAUAAGUUUACCUCCAUUCACCAUACGUACAACUAUAUCUAGCAUAAAUUUAAUAUCAAAUAAAAGUUUCGCACAGUUAACAAGUCCAAUAUCAUUGCCCACACAGUGAAGCAAAACAGCAUCUGGUAAACCGCAACAAUGUAUCAAAUUCUCUACUAUUGGUACAACCAUUUCCUGCCACAUAACUUAUGCAAUAACCGGACUUAGGAUUCAAACUAAUAAAAUUUAAAGACAGAUCCUAAAAACAGCUAAAAAAAAAUCUGAAAACGAGUCAAUUUAUUAUGAUUAAGAUGACAAAAAAGUUGGCCUUGAAGAAUCUGGACGUAACUGUAAGUAAUCUUUUAACAUUUUGACAACACACAGUUCGUUAUCAUUAUCAUUUGAAGACAAUAUUAAAGUUGUUGAACAACCAAUUUGAUCUGUCUUUGAAGACAUUAUUGUAACAAAAACUUCAGAAUCAAAUAUCAUUAAAUUUAAUAUCAGAUAUUUUUAAAACAUGAUUAUCAGCAUUUUUGUUAACAUAUGUGAUUUCUCCAAUUCUCAUAAAUCCAAAAAAAAGGCUUAAAGCAAAUGCUGCCCUAAACAGUUUUGUCUCAUAAAUUUGACUUACAAACAUGUUGAAGAAUUAAUAUAAUCCGUUUCAAUACAUCAACAGUAAUAGGUUUCAUUGAAUCAACUCUUUUACCCAAACGCUGCAUACCUUUUAACAUUUUUCCAAAAUGAAUGAUUUUCUAUAAUCAUUCCAAUAUUAAUUUUCAACUUAUGAUUAAUUCCUGAUAGAUAUGUUUUUGCAGUGGUGAGGGAAUAACCAUUUUUUGAAAGAUAUGCAACGUAGUUAAUUAUGUGAUCAACAGGCGGUGGCCAACUUUCCUCUAUUUGAAAACUGGUCCGAAAUUUAUUAAAUGAACAGAUAGCAUUUUCAUACACAUUCGUUGUAUUUGAAGAAACAGAGUGCUGUAAAAGUUUAUUCACUUCGUCUUUAAAAGGUUCCAGAACUCCACUGGAAUUGGAUGUGGAUGAUCGUUGGCUAGUGGUGCUAGACGUCGAAAUUUCUGAAAAUUUGCACGAGAUAAUGCAUCAGCAAUUGCAUUGUCCUUUGACAAAAUGUGAACAGCUUUAAACUGAAAAUUACCAAUAAGUGAACAGUAAACAAUUAAUCUCAAAAUGGACAUAACUCGUUCAGAUUUGCUUGACUUUUUGUUUAAAAUAUUCACUACUGCCAGAUUAUCAAUGUGAAAAAGUAUGUUUUCUUGUAAAAUUGAUCAAACCACAAAAAUAUUGCAAGUGCUAUUGGAAUGAUUUCAAGGUAUGUUAUAUCUUUAAAUAUUUCUGAACUAUUCCAUUCGUUAGGCCACUCGAGAAAAGUCGAUUUACCAUUAGGAUAAGCUGCACACCCUUUACUUAAUCCACCAGCACUAUCUGAAUUCAAUUCAAGAUCAAAAUAGGAUACCCAUCCUAUACCAUAUAUAUACGAAAUUCCCAUUAAACUGUUCCAAAAAAUAAUUUCCACAUUAAUAAAUCAUUUUUCAUGCCUGAUGUCACCCUAAUAAAGUGAAACGGUUUUGAAACUUUGCCCAUGGUUGAAUACAAACGACAACUAAACGCUCUUCCAGCAGGUAGAGCCUUUGUGCAGAAAGCUAAUGAACCACAUAUUGACUGCAAUUCUUUUAACGUUACUUUUUUCAUGGCUGACAACUUAAUAAUUCUGUCUAAAAGUUCUUCAACCUUUUUAUGUGGAAUUUUAACAAGCAUAUUAACCGUAUCAAUUGUAAGACCCAGAUAUUCAAUCAGUGUAGUUGGACCUUCAGUUUUUUCAUUUGCAAGUGGGAUUACUAAAUUUUGCAAAUUUCAUCAUACUGAAACAUCAGUUGUUCACAUUCAUCAGAAUCUGAUUUGCCAAAAAAAAAAAAAAAAAAAAAAAAAAAAAAAAAAAAAAAAAAAAAAAAAUCAUCCAAAUAGUGAUCUAUAUUAUUUUUGAACCAGACUUGCUUUUUAAAACCCAAUGCAAAAAGGUUGAAAACUUUUCGAAAAUAGCACAUGAAAUUGAGCAGCCAUUGCCAUUGCCUUGUCUAUGUAGUAUUCAUCUUCAAUUUUAAAACCAAGUAAGUCAAAAUCCCUCGGAUAAACUGGAAGCAAUCUAAAUACUGACGUAAUGUUCAUUUUGGCUAAUUAAGCACCUUUUCCCAAGUUUCUUAACCAUAUUAACAGCAUUAUCCAAUGAAGAAUAUUUAACCGAGGUAAACUUUUUAUCAAUGAAAUCGUUAGCACUGAUCAAUGCGGAUAUGAUAAAUGUGUAAUUAGACAAAGUCCCCCAGUUUUUUUUUUUUUAUUUUGUUUUUUUUUUAGGAACUAAUCCAAUAGGAGAACAUCUAAGAUUAGAUAUUGGUCGUUUACAAAAAGGACCUGCUAUUCUUCCUAAUGAUAUUUCAGAUUCAAUCUUAAGUCUAGCUCCAACAGGAUUUGACAAAAACAGAUUUUAAAUUUUUUGAUUCAAAUGGAAUUCUUUGGUCCAUGAUAAUUCAAACUAAAUCCAAAUUUAAAUCCAUUAAACAAAAUUUGUUUGUCCUGUGUAUUAGGAUAAUUCUUUAAAAAUUAACUGUAAUUGUUUAAUAUUAAUAGGUGAAUAUCCCAUCUUCCAAAUAUCAUAUCUAUCCUUUGACAAAUCUGAAAGAAAGGUUAAUUUCAAUUCAUUUGAUUAAAUCUAGGUACUGAAUACCUUGUGUUAAAUGGUGGCCUAUAUCUAUUUUGUUGAACAAAUGAAGGCCUGUUCGGUCGAAACUGGUAAGACAUUCGAGGGCUAUUUUGGUUAAACAUUGGUGGCCUCAAUGAUCCAAAAUUGAAAACCUUGGUUACCUUGUAACCUGUCAAAUCUAACACAUGAUAAGGCUGGAUGUUGUAAUGAACAUUUCAUACAGUUAUGUCUAUAAAAACACUGAGAUUUCUGACAAAAUCCUUUAAAGUUAAAAUCAUAACAAGGUUUUUGUAAGUUAGCCUGAUAGACUACAGGAUUAGGUGUGCCUUGCGAUCCCUUUGCAAUGAAUUUCAACCAAAGAAAGCCAUCAAUCUCAGACCAAGACUUGGAGUGAUUUAGUGAUACACGUAAUCUAAAUUGUCUAUCAUACUGGUAAACUCUGUCAAAAGGAGCAUCUGAUAUAGCAUCUCUUAUGAUUGACAUGUACGUAAACAAGUCUUGUGCUAAGCUAGCAUGCUUUUGAAGAAGUAUUUUAGAAAAAUUUGCAAAAGCUUCAGUCCAUAAUUCAAUGUUAUUUAUAGUAUUGACCUUUGAAGGUUUAUUGGAAAUGACAAGCAUUCCAUUUUCAACAGUAACACUUUGUUUCUGGUCCACAUUGCUAUAAUAUUGACUAUUUUGUUUGAGUAGAUUACCAAAUUCAGCAUAUUCAAAAUUCCAUUUUUUAAAUUUUUUUUUAAUUUUUUUUUUUUUUUUUGAGAGAAACAAUUAUAUCAACUUCAUUAGCACAUGGCAUUAACAAGGGACCAGUAUUAAUUAAAGUAUUACCCGGUCCAGCCUGAACUGCCGUAGUUUUCAGCUGUUUCUGAGGUGGAGGCUGAUUAAUGGGCUCAACAGGUUGAUCUGGUUGCUGAUGCUCUGGCGCAGCACGCCUUCUAUUUCCACGUCUACCUCUGUUGACCACUUGGACAACUUUUUCAGGGACGGGUUCCUCUUCAGGUGCAGGUUCUUCAUGAGGAGCAGGUUGUUGAACCCUAACGUCGUUGACCCUGGGCCGUAAUCUCCGACGAUAUUCAUUCCUUCUCCUAGGCAUUUUAUAAAUGAAAUCAAUAUUAGUAUAAUGUUUAUAAAUAAAUAAAUAUGUUCUAAUUUAUAAAACAGAUUACAUUGAUGCUUCGGCUGCAUAUAGAUAAAAUCGUUAAUUUAACAACUGUUCCGUACUUGAAAUAUAUAUACAAUUAUAAAUGUGUAUACAAGUACGCAUCUUAAGACAGCUAGUGUAUAAUAACCUGUAGUAAUUUGGGCAGCAGUUGUAAAUGCAAUAUAUUUGUAAUAAUUGGGCGUUCCAUAACUUGAUAACAGGUAUAAUAUAAGUGUCAAUUUAUAAUAUCAAAUUUAAAGACGACUAUAUACAUGUAUGUACAAUAACAUCGAGCAAACUGAACAGCAGUUGAUUUUAUAAUUAAAUAAAUGCCGUUACAUUUGUAAUAAUCGGGCGUUCCGUAACUUGAAAAACCGGUAUAAUGUAAGUGUCAAUUUAAAUCAAUACAGGUAGGUAAAGUCCGCAAAUUAAAAUAACUAAGCGUAUAAUCGUAAGCAAUCCUAUACAUGCAUUUCAUAGCUAAUUAAAUGAGAAUAUUCAAUGCUACAAUCGUAAAAUAGAAACAAAAACUUACCGUUAAAAAUAUCCAUGUUUAAGAACUGAAUUAAAUGCAAAACCAGAAGUCAAUGAAAUUAAACGGUAAUAAAUAAGCAUACAUAUAACUGUAAUAUUAUAUUGACAUAAAACAAUUCAUGUAUUUAAUAGUGAACGUAAAAGGGUUAACAAAAUUACGACCCGUGCAAACACGUGUUAAAUUUAAAGUUACCUGUUUUACUUUAUCGUUACAGGUUAAAAGUUUGCUCUUUAAAUGUAAAUGUGUAACCAAAUUUUAAAGUGAAUUUAAAUGCAUAAAAUGAAACGUAUUUAAAGUAUAAUGAACAAACUAAAUCAACUUAUCUUAUUAACGCUCUGGUCCUAUCCUUGUGCAAUCUUGAAAAAUACUCGUGGAAUGAAAAUUUAGCGGGAGCACGUGCUUAUAUAUGACCAAAGUCCACGAGGCGCUUCAAAGCAUAUUCUUUCGUAUGUUUAAAUAUAUGGUUGUAAUUGUGUUAAUGGCAAAACGUAAAUAAUGGACUGACGUACGUUUGAAACACAAUAAACAACUAACUGUAUUUUAAUGCAAUAAAUCAAUUUAAUUAUUAGAUCAUUAAAUUUUAUUA
rnacentral:lncRNA from 1 species